GCGAAUUCGCCCUUCGGGGUGCAGCAGGCGCGAAAACUUUACAAUGCGGGAAACCGUGAUAAGGGGACACCGAGUGCCAGCAUCAUAUGCUGGCUGUCCAGGUGUGCAAAAUACACCUGUUAGCAAGGGCCGGGCAAGACCGGUGCCAGCCGCCGCGGUAACACCGGCGGCCCGAGUGGUGAUCGUGAUUAUUGGGUCUAAAGGGUCCGUAGCCGGUUUGGUCAGUCCUCCGGGAAAUCUGACAGCUUAACUGUUAGGCUUUCGGAGGAUACUGCCAGACUUGGAACCGGGAGAGGUAAGAGGUACUACAGGGGUAGGAGUGAAAUCUUGUAAUCCCUGUGGGACCACCUGUGGCGAAGGCGUCUUACCAGAACGGGUUCGACGGUGAGGGACGAAAGCUGGGGGCACGAACCGGAUUAGAUACCCGGGUAGUCCCAGCCGUAAACGAUGCUCGCUAGGUGUCAGGCAUGGCGCGACCGUGUCUGGUGCCGCAGGGAAGCCGUGAAGCGAGCCACCUGGGAAGUACGGCCGCAAGGCUGAAACUUAAAGGAAUUGGCGGGGGAGCAC
rnacentral:rRNA from 1 species